AAAAAUUAUUAUAAAUUAAUAAAAAAAAUAAUUUUUUUUUUGUAUAUUUUAGAUAAAUUUAUUAAAAUUAUAAAUUAAUAGUAUUGUGAAAGAAAUUUUUUAAAUAAUUUAAAGAAUAAUUAAUUUUUAGUACCUUGUGUAUCAGGGUUUAUUAAUUAAAAUUUAAGAAUUUAAAGAUCUCGAUUUUAAAAGAGUUAAAAUUAAAUAAAUUUUAUUGUGAAAUAAAUAUUUAAAAUUUAAUUUUAGUAAUGAAACGUUAUUCGUUUUUAAAUAUAUCUAGUUUUUAAAGAAAUAAAUUUAAUUUAGGAAUUUUAAAUUUAAUAAUUUAAAUUAAAAAAUUAUUAAUUUAAAAUUUUAAUAUUUUUAGGGAUAAGCUUAAAAAUAAAAUAUUAAAAAUAAUUUAAAAUAUAAAAAUUAAUAGGAUUAGAAAUUUCUAUUAUUUAGUUUGUUACAAUUAAUUUUUAUAAAAAUAAAAUUUUAAAAAAUUUUAAUUAAUUUAUUUAAAUAAUUUAAUUAAUGUAAAUUUAAAUGAAAUAAUGAUAAAAUUAGUAUAAUAAAUGUAAAAUUUUAAUUUUAAUUUAUUUAAAAUUAAGGAAUUCGGCAAAUAUAAUUUUCGCCUGUUUAUUAAAAACAUGUCUUUUUGAUAAUAAUGAAAAGUCUAGCCUGCCCCCUGAGUAUUUAAAUGGCCGCAGUAUUUUGACUGUGCAAAGGUAGCAUAAUAAUUAGUUUUUUAAUUGGAAGCUGGAAUGAAUGGUUGAACGAGAAAUUAUCUGUCUCAAUUUUAAUAAUUAUAAUUUUAUUUUUAAGUAAAAAAGCUUAAAUAAAAUUUAAAGACGAGAAGACCCUAUAGAGUUUUAUAUUUAUUUAAAUUAAAAUUUUUUAGUAUUUAUUGAUUUUAAUUUAAAAAAUUAUUUUGUUGGGGUGAUAGAAAAAUUUAAUUAACUUUUUUAAAAUUAAAACAUUAAUAUAUGAAAUAUUGAUCCAUUUUUUAUGAUUAAAAGAUUAAAUUACCUUAGGGAUAACAGCGUAAUUUCUUUAAAGAGUUCAAAUCGAAAAAGAAGAUUGCGACCUCGAUGUUGGAUUAAAAUUUAUUUAUGGUGUAGAAGCUAUAAAAUUAAGUCUGUUCGACUUUUAAAAUUUUACAUGAUCUGAGUUUAAACCGGUGUGAGCCAGGUUGGUUUCUAUCUUAAAUUAAAUAAAAUAUUUUAGUACGAAAGGACCAAAUAUU
rnacentral:rRNA from 1 species